AGUGAACGCUGGCGGUAGGCCUAACACAUGCAAGUCGAACGGCAGCACAGUAAGAGCUUGCUCUUACGGGUGGCGAGUGGCGGACGGGUGAGGAAUACAUCGGAAUCUACUUUUUCGUGGGGGAUAACGUAGGGAAACUUACGCUAAUACCGCAUACGACCUACGGGUGAAAGCAGGGGAUCUUCGGACCUUGCGCGAUUGAAUGAGCCGAUGUCGGAUUAGCUAGUUGGCGGGGUAAAGGCCCACCAAGGCGACGAUCCGUAGCUGGUCUGAGAGGAUGAUCAGCCACACUGGAACUGAGACACAGUCCAGACUCCUACGGGAGGCAGCAGUGGGGAAUAUUGGACAAUGGGCGCAAGCCUGAUCCAGCCAUACCGCGUGGGUGAAGAAGGCCUUCGGGUUGUAAAGCCCUUUUGUUGGGAAAGAAAAGCAGCAGGUUAAUACCCCGCUGUUCUGGCGGUACCCAAAGAAUAAGCACCGGCUAACUUCGUG
rnacentral:rRNA from 1 species